rnacentral:rRNA from 1 species
UACGAGGGGGGCAAGCGUUGUUCGGAAUUAUUGGGCGUAAAGGGCGCGUAGGCGGCCAUUCAAGUCGGACGUGAAAUCCCUCGGCUCAACCGGGGAACUGCGUCCGAUACUGUCUGGCUCGAGUCCUGGAGAGGGUAGUGGAAUUCCCAGUGUAGCGGUGAAAUGCGUAGAUAUCAGGAGGAACACCGGUGGCGAAGGCGGCUUCCUGGACCACAACUGACGCUGAGGCGCGAAAGCUAGGGUAGCAAACAGG